AGGCGCAGGGCCAAUCUCGCAUGGAACCCAGCUCAGGUUCACAGUCUCUAGGAUAUGUUGCCAUUCCUCUUUUUUUAUAGGAAUGAGAAGAUGGUCGCCAAGGGACGAGCAUAGACAACGGGUGAUGUAUGAAGAAUAAAAGAAGCUUGCUUGUCCAACAGCAAGAAUAAACGAAGCUCAAGUCUCGCUCUAUAAGCACGAACUCGCGAGGAAAAGAAUGCAGGUGUGAUAUGUGCCUUCUAGUUUUUAAAUUCCAAAGGAAUUUUCAGGCAGCCAAGGAGCGAGGAACUCAGACUGAAAAGAAGAAGGAGCUUUGGUGGAGGCUGGGACGUGCCCACGAAGGCCGGCUGACGGAGAAUGUCAAAGAGGCUUUUGCUCGAGCGAACACACAGAAAGACAUUCGAUCAACACGCUGUUAGAGAUGAAAGUUUCUUUCUAGGCAUUUUACAGUUCCUACGUGGUCAAGCGUUGCGAGUUUUCAGUUGAGAAAGACGGACUCCGGUGAGAACAGAGUGCCCAAAUAACAAUUCAUCAAAUCUGUUUAGUCUGUG